rnacentral:lncRNA from 1 species
AUGCUUCUCCUGCAACGUCAGCAAGUACAUCGGUUGCACCGUGGUUGUAAAUUGCACAACAACGGAAGCGUAUUGCAUGAUGCGCACAGCUACAACCACGGACGGUUUCAUCAUCGAGCAAGGAUGCGUGGAGGUCUGCCCCGUUGCCGUAACCACUUGGCCAGUGCUCUACACUUACAUUUGCUGUCAGGAAAACUACUGCAACAGUGCUGCCAGCACAAGAAAGUCCAUCUCUCUCUUCACCAUAGUCAUUUUCACCAAAGCAUAUGCUGUCCUGGAGCUCUAGCCAAAGAGGAACAAAGAGCUCAAGCUUCUACCAAAGCAGUAAACGAUGAGGUUUUCUCUGUGCCGGCUUUCUCUUCCUCUGUGGUCCCCAGGACAAGCUUGUCUCCUACCAUUUUUCAUUUCUGGGUUGUCUAAUGAUUUUUCCUCCAUGGUUGGAAUGUAUUAUAGAUGGGCACCCAAGAUGAAUGGCCACUGACUUUGCCUUCAUUUUAUGACUGUUUGUAGCCAUGGCUGUCUCAAGUGGCUUGCAUGGGUUAAGCCAAUGGAUUCUGCAAUGGGAAAUUGUUCACCAACGAACCAUAGUUUAUAGAGCAUCUAGGGCAGAGACCCCAUGGUACCAAAGAAGGCAACAAUUGAAUGGAAACUCUACAGAGUGGGUUGUCCUUGGGUUGACCGAAGCCACCAAUAUGUCCCCAAUUGUCGGUCAGCUACAUUUGUAGUCUCUGCAGUGUUCUCUCCCACUUCUGCUCCAAAUAUAUGAAAUGCCUUCUGCUUUGGGUCUGAUCUUCCCAGAAGGCCUACUUUAGGAAGAAUGACUUCUCAAGGCAAUCCUUUGACCUGGGUGUGUGCAGAUCUGAAGAACAAAUGACGAGGGUCAUUUAAACAGAUAGCCAACCAAGACCUUUGCAAAUAAAUAUUCAUUAUUUUUUAUUAAACAAGGUAAUAAUAUGAAUGAAAAUGUGUAAUCAAUAUGUAUAUAUGCUAUAAUAAAUCUACCAAAAAGACGGUUCAGUUCGCUAUUGAUUGACUUAUUGUCCCUCCUUUCUCCAAUAUGGAACCUACUUCAGCUCAAGAUCAGGGUUAAAAGAAAAUGCAAAUCAAGCAAUGACUAAUGCAAAUGUUUUAAAAGACCAGUUGAUCCUAUCAAAAGCAUUCAACAUCUAUACUUCAGGUUUCAUCACUAUCUCACUGUAAUAGUGAAGCAUGGAGGAGUAACUGAUAAAGGAGUUUAUAGGCUUGUGCAUUUUGGAUAAAUCCUGAUCCGUUUCUGCUGGCCACAUACCAAUAGAUCUCCAUAUCCUUUUCCCCAUGCCUCCCAAAAAUGUGUGGGUAGUCGGGUAGCUGUUUUCGGUCUGUAGCCGAUAAAUACGACUAGAUCCACCCAUUAGCAACAAUGGGUGACUUGUGAGGUGUCGCACCUCAGGAUAGCUUCACCUUGCUAAAUACACCAGGCUGUACAACAGGUUGAAGUCUUUUGUAGUUUAUUAGGAAAUAGGAAAUAAAUAGUUCUUUAAAAGCAAAAGUAAGUUCCAAAAGAUAGUUGCAAAACAAGGCUUUAAAGGAUAAUCCAAGAAACAUAAAGCAUAAAACAAGGCUCCAUUGAUGCAUGGCAAAGUCCCAUGAACAUGAACACAUCAGGCUGCAAGAUAAUCCAGGAAAGCAAGAGCUUGCUUCAUGACUUGAGCGAGAAGUUGCUUUGACAAAGAUUUCUCUCUCAGCACACUAUUUUAAUACCCUUUGCAUAGCAUAAAAGCAUUUCUUUGGCCUCUGACCUCCCUCUUGUUUGCUAUUCUAGCACUCCUGAGAAUCCUGAAUUCCAAACAGCCAGCUCAAUCUAAAGAUUCCAUUUUAUCAAGGCCGGCCAGCUCGUUAGUGUUAUCAUCUGUCUGCAUGCUAUCAGUCUGAGAGCUGUCCUCCCUUCCUGGGGCAAUUUGCACCUGGCUACCUUCAGUAUCAUCAACACCAUUCCCUGCCAAGGGAAGGCCUCCCUGUUCCUCAUCUUCCACAGCAGGAACACUCUGAACCUGAAUCCCAUAAUUCCCAUCACAGUCAUUUUGAAACUGAAUGCCAUCAUCUUGAACCUGAAUCCCAUAAUCCCCAUCAGAGUCACUCUGAGGCUCCAGCUGCGUCACAACACGAGGUUCCCCUUUCUAUUCCUGGAACUCUUUCCUUUUUCCCUUCAAGGGAGACUGGGUUUCAGCAACGGGGUUGUUGCACCCCAGGGCAGCAGGAGCACUGAAAACCAGACAGAGACCAAUAAACAUAUAAUAUCUUUAUUAAAACAAUUAUAAAUCCAGGAAUGAAUAGGUGGAAAGAUUGAGCAGAUAAUAGUCCCUUAUGAAAAGGUAUGAAUUAGUCCAAACAAUUGAAGGGAAAUGUCCAGUAUUAUUGUCCAAAGUCCAG